rnacentral:rRNA from 1 species
GACGAACGCUGGCGGCGUGCUUAACACAUGCAAGUCGAACGGAAAGGCCCUGCUUUUGUGGGGUGCUCGAGUGGCGAACGGGUGAGUAACACGUGAGUAACCUGCCCUUGACUUUGGGAUAACUUCAGGAAACUGGGGCUAAUACCGGAUAGGAGCUCCUGCUGCAUGGUGGGGGUUGGAAAGUUUCGGCGGUUGGGGAUGGACUCGCGGCUUAUCAGCUUGUUGGUGGGGUAGUGGCUUACCAAGGCUUUGACGGGUAGCCGGCCUGAGGGGGUGACCGGCCACAUUGGGACUGAGAUACGGCCCAGACUCCUACGGGAGGCAGCAGUGGGGAUUAUUGCACAAUGGGCGGAAGCCUGAUGCAGCAACGCCGCGUGCGGGAUGACGGCCUUCGGGUUGUAAACCGCUUUCGCCUGUGACGAAGCGUGAGUGACGGUAAUGGGUAAAGAAGCACCGGCUAACUACGUG